rnacentral:rRNA from 1 species
UACGUAGGGGGCAAGCGUUGUUCGGAAUUACUGGGCGUAAAGGGCGCGUAGGCGGCACGGCAAGUCGGGAGUGAAAGCCCGGGGCUCAACCCCGGAGGGUCUUCCGAAACUGCCGAGCUAGAGUGCGGAAGAGGCAAUCGGAAUUCCCAGUGUAGCGGUGAAAUGCGUAGAUAUUGGGAAGAACACCGGAGGCGAAGGCGGGUUGCUGGGCCGACACUGACGCUGAGGCGCGAAAGCCAGGGGAGCAAACGGG